CACCUUCCAGUGGCUAUGGAGAUUAUAUCUGAAUCUCUUAAGCAAUCUCCCCAUAUACCUAAGGAUAGCCUCCCGCGCAUGUGGGAUAUCAAUCUCCUUGAUAUCAAAGUCGUGCUGCACAAAUAAUAUACAACAUAUAAGAUUCUAAAAAAAUAAAAGUUAAGUACUAAUCAAAUUAAAUAUAAAAUAAAUUGAAAGAUCUGUAUUUAAAAAAUAUAACAUAAUUUAUAUUUAGUUAUCAAUAAAUGGUCGAGGAGG
rnacentral:lncRNA from 1 species